rnacentral:rRNA from 1 species
AGGAUCAUUAUUGAAUAAACUUGAACAGGYUGUUUGCUGGCCCUUGUGGGUACGUGCACGCUUGUCAUCUUUAUUUCUCCAACUGUGCACAUAUUGUAGACCUGGGGAGGUGUUUUUGAUUUGUUUUCGAGUUUGGUACUGCUGCAUUCAUCAAUCAGCUUUACCUUUUUUUGCAUCCUUUCCAGGUCUAUGUCCCUUUUMACAAACCCUUGAAUCUGUUUAGAAUGUAUAAUAAAGUUAAAUAUACAACUUUCAGCAACGGAUCUCUUGGCUCUCGCAUCGAUGAAGAACGCAGCGAAAUGCGAUAAGUAAUGUGAAUUGCAGAAUUCAGUGAAUCAUCGAAUCUUUGAACGCAUCUUGCGCUCCUUGGUAUUCCGAGGAGCAUGCCUGUUUGAGUGUCAUUCAAGUUCUCAAACCAUGUUGAUUGUUUUCGAUGUGGCUUGGAUAUGGGGGUUUUUUUGCAGGCCUUUCGAGGUCAGCUCCUCUGAAAUGCAUUAGUAGUAUCUGAGCAGAGAAACUACCACAGGUGUGAUAAAUUUAUCUAUGCCUGGGUGAGCUGCAUGAACAGAUUGCGCUGCUUAUAAUGAGUGGGGAACCACGUUUGAUGAAUUUGACCUCAAAUCAGGUAGGACUACCCGCUGAACUUAAGCAUAUCAAUAAGCGGAGGAAAAGAAACUA